UUAAAUUGAAGAGUUUGAUCAUGGCUCAGAUUGAACGCUGGCGGCAGGCCUAACACAUGCAAGUCGAACGGUAACAGGAAGCAGCUUGCUGCUUCGCUGACGAGUGGCGGACGGGUGAGUAAUGUCUGGGAAGCUGCCUGAUGGAGGGGGAUAACUACUGGAAACGGUAGCUAAUACCGCAUAACGUCGCAAGACCAAAGAGGGGGACCUUCGGGCCUCUUGCCCUCGGAUGUGCCCAGAUGGGCUUUGCUUGUUGGUGGGGUAACGGCUCACCAAGGCGACGAUCC
rnacentral:rRNA from 1 species